rnacentral:misc_RNA from 1 species
GCGAGUUUACGCACUCCAAACCCACUGUGAACAGUUCCACGUUGCUUCGGCGGGCGGCCCCUCGGGGUCACGUCGCCCCUCGUUAGGGGUGCCCGCCAGAAGACCAAACCAAAACUCGUUUUUUUAGCGGCAUUCUGAGUCUAAAAACAAACUGUUA